rnacentral:lncRNA from 1 species
UGCAUGUAAGUGGCAAAGAUGACUGUCUGAAAAUAUAUACCUACUUUUUUAAAGGGCUAUCUCAAGCCAUUCUGGAGAAGCACCAAAAGCCACUUUGCUUAUACUGGGAGAAUAGUUUGCUUUCCCUAAUUUGUGAUGAGUGAAACACUGAACAGAGACAUAGAAUAAUAUUCUGUAGUUCAGGGUUGGUGUAAUAUGGCCAGUGGGCGGAAUCUGGUCCUCAGACUGAUUUUGCAAAUAAUCUUAUAGAAACACAGCAACACCCAUUCAUUACAUGUUGUUUAUGGUUGCUUUGGGGUUACAAUGGCAGAGUUGAGUAGUUGUGACAGAGAUCACUAGGCUCACCACAUCUGAGAUAUGUACUGACUGACCCUGUACAGAAAGUUUGCUGCUCUUAGAGGAAUGUGUGUUUCUAGUGUCAGCAAUAAACUUCUUGGAUUUGUUUUGUUUUCU